rnacentral:ncRNA from 1 species
GCAGCGGUUUUGGUUCCCCCGAAAGGGGGCUAAGAGGGAACCGGGUGGGAAUCCCGGACAGUCCCGCUGCUGUGAGUUCCAGUAACUUACACAGUUUUUACCAUAAGGUCACUGUGGCGCCAGCAGGUGCCGUGGGAAGGCCAAAAACCGGGGACAAAGGUCCCCGAGGGGUGACGGCGACAGAGAUGGAGCCAAGGUCCCCUUGUGUAGGAACAAGUCAGAAGACCUGCCAAGACCG